rnacentral:rRNA from 1 species
UACGGAGGGAGCUAGCGUUGUUCGGAAUUACUGGGCGUAAAGCGCACGUAGGCGGCUUUGUAAGUUAGAGGUGAAAGCCCGGGGCUCAACCCCGGAAUUGCCUUUAAGACUGCAUCGCUUGAAUCCAGGAGAGGUGAGUGGAAUUCCGAGUGUAGAGGUGAAAUUCGUAGAUAUUCGGAAGAACACCAGUGGCGAAGGCGGCUCACUGGCCCGGUACUGACGCUGAGGUGCGAAAGCGUGGGGAGCAAACAGG